AAGGAAGAAUCUGACUGCAGGGAUAAAAUAAGCUCAUUCAGAUGUAUGUGAAAUUCACACACUGCAUUUCUAGAGUGGAAAGAUGAGUUCACACCAGCCUAACCUGUGGUCAGAGGCAGGACUGUGUGAAGAGCUCAACUCAAAGGAUCUGUUCCUGGAAGCGACGUGUUCACUUUCAACAAUCGCCAACAACAAAGUGCAUUUGUGGGGGCUGCAAUGCACCUAAUCGCUUGUGUAAAAAGUUUGGAUAUACCAAGUGGUAAGCCUGAAACAUUCCCAGAAAGUUUUUUGUUGUUAUCAUUAUUAGAGGUAUAUUCAGUAACAGGCCCACAAAGAAUGUGUGCAGAGAUUUCUUUAGAUUUCAAACACUCCUCAUUCAAACCACUUUUAUUUUACAAUUUAACUCAUUUGUUGAUUCUUUCAGCUACCAACAAAGUUUAUAGUACUCUCAGCUCCAUUUACAUCAGCUUUCCCUGCAAAAUCAGUGCAGAAAAAUGCAAAAAGUCUGCAUAUCCUGUCUGGGACUAGGCAAUUAGAUUCUUUUUACUGGUAGUUAUUAAAUACAUAUAAAUGUUCAUGUCAGUGGUACUUUUAUUUUUGUGGAGGACAGAAAAGAAACAAAAAAAAAGUCCAAAUGAAAUAAGGUCGAGCAUAGUACUUGUAUAACUUUAUUCAUUGUUGUGCUUUAACCUUGGGUAAUUUCCUUUCAAAAUGUCAAUUUAAAUGGAACAAAAAAAAUUGUAUGCAAAUGGGGAAUGAAGAAAAAACAA